rnacentral:lncRNA from 1 species
CCGGCGGCGACCUCGGCAGGCGACAGCCCAGCAGACGGGCACCAGGUGGACGUGCCAGUCUCCAGACCCCUGUCCGGGUGCAGGGAAGGUGGGCGUUUGGACCCCUGAGGCAGAAACAGGCAACCAACUGCUGGCAGCAGCAUCAGCAGUGUCCGGGACUCCACCUCCUACAGAAGUCGUGGAUGUCUCACAUCACAUCACCAUUGCUGCAGAUGCCACAGAAUACCAUUCUGCUCAUCAUUGCUCCAAAAUUACCAUAACUCCUAGACCAGCUGCUUGAUUACAUUAUUUAAUGCAUUCAUAAAGAAGCACAUGCAGUACUGUACCACCGUUUAAAAUUUGUGAUGAAAGUACUUUAAUUUCAUUUUUAAUUUUGUAGGCAUUAAAAGCAUUAUCUGAAUCUCAAAGAAAAGUCCAAGACCUGAUGGUUUCCUGGUGAAUUCUACCAAACGUGUAAAGAAGAACUAAUACGAGCCCUUCAUAAACAUUUCCAAAAAACUGAAGAGAAGGGAACACUUCUUAACGCAUUCUAUGAGGCCAGCAUUACGCUGGUACCAAAGCCAGACAUACAUAUGACAAGAAAAGAAAACUACAGACCAAUAUUUCUUCUGAACACUGAUGCAAAAAACCUCAACAAAGUACUGGCAAACUUCAGCAGCAUAUUGAAAGGAUUAUACACUAUGACCAAGGGGAUUUAUUCCUGGAAUUCAAGGAUGGCUUAGUAUACCAAAAAAAAAAAAAAAUCAGUGUACUACACUAUACUAACAGCAUGAAGCAAAAAACUACAUGAUCAUCUCAAUUGAUGCAGAAAAAGCAUUUGACAAAACAACACCCUUUCAUGAUAAAACCACUCAACAGAUUAGGACUGGAAGGCAACUACCUCAACGUAAUAGAAGCCAUUUAUGCAAAGCCCACAUCUAACACUGCUCAGUGAUGAAAGGCUGAAAACUUUUCCUGUAAAAUCAGGAAUAAGAGGCCGGGUGCGGUGGCUCACGCCUGUAAUCCCAGCACUUCGGGAGGCCAAGGCGAGUGGAUCAGCUGAAGUUGGGAGUUCAAGACCGGCCUAAGCAACAUGGAGAAACCAUGUCUCUACUAAAAAUAGAAAACUGGCCAGGCGUGGUGGUGUACACCUGUAAUCCCAGCUACUCUGGAGGCUGCGACAGGAGAAUCGCUUGAACCCAGGAGGCAGAGGUUGUGGUGAGCCAAGAUCGCACCAUUGCACUCCAGCCUGGGCAACAAGAGCAAUACUCCAUCUGAAAAAAAAAUUAAAAUCAGGAAUAAGGCAAAAAUAUCCACUUUUGUCCCUUCUAUUAAGAUCUAGCCAGAGCAAUUAGGCAAGAAAAAUAAAAGGCAUCCAAAUGGAAAAGGGAGAAGUAAAAUUAUCUCUGUUUACAGAUUAUAUGAUCCUAUAUGAAGAAAAUCCUAAAGAUUCCACAAAAGAUCUGUUAGAACUAAUGAAUGAAUGCAGCAAAGCAGUAGGAUGCAAAGAACAAUCUGAAAAGGAAAUUAUGAAAACAAUUCCAUGUACAAUAGCAUAAAAAGAAUAAAACAAGAAUUAAGGCGGUGAAAGACUGGUACAAUGAAAGCUACAAAACAUUGCUGAAAGAAAUUAAGACACAGAUAAAUGGAGAGACAUUUUGCGUUCAUGGGCUGGAAGACUUAAUAUGGUUAAGAUGUCAGUACUACCCAAACCAAUCUACAGAUUUAAUGCAGUCCCUAUAAAAUCCCAAUGACAUUUUUUGCAGGAACAGAAAAACAUCUUAAAAUUCAUUUGGAAUCUCAAGGGACCCUGACUAGCCAAAACAGUCUGAAAAAGAACAAAGUUUAAGGACUUUCACUUCCUGAUCUCAAAAUUUUCUACACAGCUAUAGUAAGCAAUGUGGCACUGGCAUAAAGACAGACAUAGAAACCAAUGGGAUAGAAUAGCGAGCCCAGAAACAAACCCUUGCAUACAUGGCCAGAUGAUUUUUUAAUAAGGGUGCCAAGACCAUUCAGUGGGGAAAGGACAGUCUUUUUCAGCAAAUGAUGCUGGGAAUACUAGAUAUCCACACACAGAAAAAUAAAGUUUGGCCCUUACCUUACCACAGAUAGAUUCAAAAUGGAUCCAAGACCUAAAUGUAAGAUCCAAAACUAUAAAAUUCUAAGAAGAAAAUAAAGGGCAAAGCCAGGCACAGUGGCUCAUGCCUGUAAUGCCAGCACUUUGGGAGGCUGAGAAAGGAGGACUCAUCCCCCGAGGCCGGGUGUGGUGGCUCACGCCUAUAAUCCCAGCACUUUGGGAGGCCGAGGCAGGUGGAUCACGAGGUCAAGAGAUCGAGACCAUCCUGGCCAAAGUGGUGAAACCCCAUCUCUACUAAAAAUACAAAAAUUGGCUGGGUGUGGUGGCAUGCACUGGUAGUCCCAGCUACUCAGGAGGCUGAGGCAGGAGAAUCGCUUAAACCCAGGAGGUAGAUAGAGGUUGCAGUGAGCUGAGAUUGCACCACCGCACUGCAGCCUGGCAACAGCGAGACUCUGUCUCAAAAAAUAGGAGGACCUCUUGAGCCCAGGAGUUUGAAACCAACCUGGGCAACAGAGAGAGAGACCCUGUCUCUACAAUAAAUUUUAAAAUGAGCCAGGUGUGGUGCACACCUGUAGUCCCAGUUACUCAGGAGGCUGAGGUGGGAGGAUCACUUGAGUCCCGGAGUUUGAGGCUGCAGUGAGCCGUGAUUACACCACUGCACUCCAUCCUGGAUGACAGAGCAAGACCCUGUAGCAAAAAAAAAAAAGAAAAAGAAAAAUAUAGGGCAAAAGCUUCGUAACACUGAAUUUGGCAAUGAUUUCUUGGAUAUGACACCAAAGGCCCAGGCAACAAAAGAAAAGAUAAAUUGGACAUCAUGAAAAUCAAAACAUUGCUUUCAUUAAAAGACACUGUCAGCAGAAGCUGGGCAUGGUGGCUCAUGCCUGUAAUCCUAGCACUUUGGGAGGCCGAGGCUGGUGGAUCACUUGACCUCAGGAGUUGGAGACCAGCCUGGGCAACAUGGUGAAACCCCAUCUCUACAAAAAAACACAAAAAUUAGCCAGGCAUGGUGGCUCAUUCCUAUAGUCCCAGCUGCUUGCAGAGCUGAGGCAAGAGGAUCGCUUGAGCCCAGGAGGCAGAGGUUGCAGUGAGCCGAGAUUGUGCUACUGCACUCCAGCCUGGG